rnacentral:lncRNA from 1 species
GGACUCUUCAUUAAGUCUAGUGUCACCCAGCUAUCAUGUACCAGAAACAAGACUUGAAAUCAGGUCUAACUCCAAGGAAUUGCUCUAAGGUUAAAUGACCUGCUCCCAAUCAUAGUUAUCAUCAAAGACAUGACUGACACCAGAUCUCAUCCAAGGCUGCCCCACACUAAACUUCUUUUCAGCAGAUGAGAACAGUUUUCUUCAUUCUGUUUUUCCUGAAUAAAACAGCAUAAGCAAACCAUUCAUGUUGUGUUCAAACUAUUCCCUAAUUUAUCAAUUGCA